CUUCCUCUCCAUUACCCUAAUUUUUGUGCACUCUCUCCCCUAAAUCUAUGGUUAUGUUGUUUUUUUCAUUUUGUUUUUUUUUUAUUUUGUAGAGUCAUUAUUCAUUCGAUUAGCAAAUACUUUGAUCCCCAAUUUAAUUUAAACAAAACCACUCCUAAAAAUCUUGAUCUGUUCGUCGUAUUUUUCUUUGUUCUUCAUGUUCUUCGUUCUGGGUUUGAUUUUUCUGGAGUUUUGGGUUUGUGUUUUCUGAGGUUUCGAGUUUUUAUUGUAGAUCUUAUCAUUUUUUCUAAGGUUGUUUUGAUCCGGGUUUUUCGAAUAUUUGUGAGUUCGUGUUUGUGUUGAUCUGGGUAAUUGUUGAUAUGGGUUCUUGGUUUACGUUGUUCGUUGUCUGUUUCGUGUUCAUCAAAUUCUGGAUUUUCUGGGUUUAAAAUUGUAAUACCCCGAAAUUUUUAAACUCGAUUUAUUAAAAUGAAUUAUAUUUAUUAGCUUGAUUUCGUUUUAAAUAAUUACGAAUAAUCGAAUUUCGUUAUUUUGAACCUUUUUACGAUUUAUUUUAAACGAUAAAUUUAUAAACGAAAAUUUAUUUAUUUUUCGUUAACAAUAAUUUUUAUAAAGAAUUAUUUUAAUUAAACAUUUCUAUCUUUUAGUAAUUUCCAAAAAUAGCAACAAUUACUGAAUUUUUGUCCAAAUAUUGUGAAAUUACGAAAAUGCCCUCAAGGAACCAAAAUUCAAUUUUGCUCUCUUCCCUUGCUUUCCACGUACAAAGCAGGAAGUGAAGACUUCCUUCCUUCCCACAAUUCAGUCCAAAGUCAUAUACUUGGACCCCAAGCACACCUCCUUGUUCUUCACUCUUCCCAAUUACAAAUUCAGAAUUUUUGGAUGGAAUUUCAACAACAAACCAAAUACAAUUCCAAUUUCAAUCUCAAUUUUCUGUGAUUCAAACCCACCACCACCAUCAACCACCGCCUGCCACCACUGUAGCCACCACCGUCCACCACCAUUCUCACCAUCACCCAACACCACCUAACCACCACUCACCACCGAGCACCACCACUCCACCAUGUCUCCCCUCCCCUGCCCUCUUCUCCCACGUCGCAACUCCCCUGCCCCUUUCCCCUUUUCUCUUCGCCGCACCACCACCAUCACUCUCUACCACCGCCCACCAUCACCUCCAGCCACCUGCAUCAUCUCACCAACCAACCCUUCCCCAGAUUCCGGCGAGCCGCCGUCCAGGACCAACCGAAAAGCCUCACAAAACUCCCCUGUGUUUCGCCCCAACCGUGCCCCUUUCUCCCCUUUUCUCGUCGUUCGGCCACCCCAGACCAACCACCAGCACCGGCGUAACCCUUCUGCGACGCCCAGCCAUCCGCCGCUCCUUCUACUCGCAGCUCUCCUUCCCCUUCGUGCCUCCCCUGUUUCGGCCCCCUCCCCUGCUCUUGACCCCUUUCCCAGGAAACCGAAACAAAAAAAAUAAAAAAUAUAAAAGAAAGAGAGAAACCCAAUUCUUAUUUUUUUAAGCCUUGAUUUUUAUUUUCCCUCAAACCCAAUUUCAGAUUGGGCCAUUUCUUAAUUUGGGCUUUUUGGAAAUUGGACUCGGAGCUCAGGACGAACGAACCAAGGAAAAUCCCUAGCAAAUCGCGGAGUUAGGUACUGUUGGGAAAGAUGGAAACGAGUAGUGGCGAGGAUUUCACUUUAAUAAUAUUCACCUAGUUAAUGUUCUAAGUUUUGAUAGUUAAUUACAGGCUUUUUAGCAAGUUAUGUACUUUUACUUUGGGAAUAUAAAGGAUUAUUAUAUUAACUUUUGGGAUUUGAUAACUUAUUAUUGAUGGUUGCCUUGAAAUUCCCAAGAAGGAGUUACGGCAGGUAAUGUCCCGACCAAAUUAGGUUAUUUUCGCUGCUAAUUAUGCUUUAA